CCUAGGCCCGCGCAACAGACCCACAAUUUAUCUCAAUUUUUUCACGCACGGUUAAAUUGCUGGUUCUAGCGCCCUUAGCUUAGCGCCUGCAUUGUAUGUGCCCUAACUCUAGCCCCAGCCAGACCGCUCCCUCCUCUCUCCCUCUCCGAAUGCGGCGCUGGCAGCUGACCUGCCGCCGACCUCUGGCCCUCGGUGCCGAGCUCCGCCGCCUCUGCACAAACUCUGCCGCUUCACCGCCGCCAACACCCUCUCCCGCUCCGGUUCCACCACUUCCAGCCUCUCCCUUCUUCUCCACCAUGCCGCCCCGUCGACGGCCAGAUUCGGCGACCUCACUGUCAGAUCUGGCGACCUCGCUGCCGAGUCCAGUGACCUCACUACCAGAUCUGUGGUGCGCAGUCUCCAGCUAAGUGCCACGCGGGGUGAGUACCGGCGCCGGCGCGAGGCGACCCCUCUCCUCACAGCGGUAACCCAUCUGCACCAACUCCAUAGAAAAAUUCCGGAUGCGUUGGUCGGGAGGCAGAGCGGCUUGGUCACCAAGGUCAAGGACCAGGGCAACGACGCUGAGUGCGCACGGCGGCAGAUACGCAUGAAACAUGUGUGGGCAAUUAUCUAGGAAGGGCAUGAAAGGAAAUUCAAGUUACUAUACAACAAGGUCCACGGGAAUACCGGGACGGGCUCCUUUUUACAGAUAUUAUAAGGCCCCGCUUGGAAUCGCUGUAGAAGUUUUACAUCCGUACAUGAAUACCCCUGUAUAUUACAGGAGAUUUGUAAAAUACAACCGGAUAUUCCCACAUGAAUAUGCUGCGCUUGGUUCGUCGGA